rnacentral:rRNA from 1 species
AUUGAACGCUGGCGGCAUGCCUUACACAUGCAAGUCGAACGGCAGCACGGGUGCUUGCACCUGGUGGCGAGUGGCGAACGGGUGAGUAAUAUAUCGGAACGUACCUUAUUGUGGGGGAUAACGCAACGAAAGCUGUGCUAAUACCGCAUAAUCCCUAAGGGGGAAAGCGGGGGACCGUAAGGCCUCGCGCAAUUAGAGCGGCCGAUACCUGAUUAGCUAGUUGGUGAGGUAAAGGCUCACCAAGGCAACGAUCAGUAGCUGGUCUGAGAGGACGAUCAGCCGCACUGGGACUGAGACACGGCCCAGACUCCUACGGGAGGCAGCAGUGGGGAAUUUUGGACAAUGGGGGCAACCCUGAUCCAGCAAUGCCGCGUGAGUGAAGAAGGCCUUCGGGUUGUAAAGCUCUUUUGUCAGGGAAGAAACAGCAGCUCUAACACAGUUUGCGAAUGACGGUACCUGAAGAAUAAGCACCGGCUAACUACGUGCCAGCCGCCGCAGUAA